GGUGUACAGCACAAGCAAACAUCAAAUUGGAACGAUACAGAGAAGAUUAGCAUGGCCCCUGCGCAAGGAUGACACGCAAAAUCGUCAGCAACACCCUUCACGA